UACGUAGGGCGCAAGCGUUGUUCGGAAUUACUGGGCGUAAAGGGCGCGUAGGCGGCACGGCAAGUCAGGAGUGAAAGGCCUGGGCUCAACCGAGGAACUGCUUUUGAGACUGCCGAGCUAGAGUGCAGAAGGGGCAACUGGAAUUCCCAGUGUAGCGGUGAAAUGCGUAGAUAUUGGGAAGAACACCUGAGGCGAAGGCGGGUUGCUGGGCUGACACUGACGCUGAGGCGCGAAAGCCAGGGGAGCAAACGGG
rnacentral:rRNA from 1 species